UUUCCGUAGGUGAACCUGCGGAAGGAUCAUUCAUGGUAAAAAGAGAGAGCGGUUUCUUACCCUCUUCUGUUUUUAACUUCGUGCACAAUUUUGUUCCAUAUUUUUUAUUUUUGAACCAAACCACAUACUAAAAAAACAAAACAGACCAAACUGUCUAAAAGAAAAACAAAACUCGUAACGGUGGAUGUCUUGGCUCCCACAUCGAUGAAGAACGCAGCGAAAUGCGAAACGUAAUGCGAAUUGCAGAACCCGUGAAUCAUCAAAUCUUUGAACGCAAGUUGCGCUCGUGGGUAAUCCUGCGAGCAUGUCUGUUUGAGUGUCCGUACAAAAUGACUUUUACAUUGAGUUUAUUGUGCUCCCGCCGGACCACUGCCUUUGUUGUGCGGUGUUCUUUCCGGUGCGUUGUAGCCUUGGUAACUGUGUAGCUGAUGGGUGUGGGGACUGUUAUGGUUUCCUUUGUCCGUGGGUCUCUGUUUUCCUGUUUUUGGGAUAGAGAGAGGUCUGCGGUCACCUGAAGAGAAGUGUGCGGCGAUUUCCUGUUUUUUCCAUGCUUGCCUACUCAGUGGGUGGAUGGCGUUAAUUGCGUGCUGCGAAGUAAAUGUUUAUUUGUUUCUCUGAGCAGUGCGUGAGUCAGAAAAUGGACGGGAGAUUGUCAGCCUUUUGAACGUCUUAACUUACCUAGACAAAAGAAUGUUUAUUUUGGAUCUCAAAUCAGGCAAGACGACCCGCUGAAUUUAAG
rnacentral:rRNA from 1 species